UACGAAGGGGGCUAGCGUUGCUCGGAAUCACUGGGCGUAAAGCGCACGUAGGCGGCUUUUUAAGUCAGGGGUGAAAUCCUGGAGCUCAACUCCAGAACUGCCUUUGAUACUGAGAAGCUUGAGUCCGGGAGAGGUGAGUGGAACUGCGAGUGUAGAGGUGAAAUUCGUAGAUAUCGGGAGGAACACCAGUGGCGAAGGCGGCGAUCUGGGAAGAUACUGACGCUGAGGUGCGAAAGCGUGGGGAGCAAACAGG
rnacentral:rRNA from 1 species